GAUGAACGCUAGCGGCAGGCCUAACACAUGCAAGUCGAGGGGGAGGUUACUUUCGGGUAACUGAGACCGGCGUACGGGUGCGUAACGCGUAUACAAUCUGCCUUUCACUGGGGGAUAGCCCGAAGAAAUUUGGAUUAAUACCCCAUAGUAUAGUAAUACGGCAUCGUGAUGCUAUUAAAGCUUAGGUGGUGAAAGAUGAGUAUGCGUUCUAUUAGCUAGUUGGAGAGGUAACGGCUCCCCAAGGCGAUGAUAGAUAGGGGUUCUGAGAGGGAUGUCCCCCACACUGGUACUGAGAUACGGACCAGACUCCUACGGGAGGCAGCAGUGAGGAAUAUUGGACAAUGGUCGGAAGACUGAUCCAGCCAUGCCGCGUGCAGGAUGAAGGUCUUAUGGAUUAUAAACUGCUUUUGUAAGGGAAGAAUAAGGGCUACGCGUAGUUUGAUGACGGUACCUUACGAAUAAGCAUCGGCUAACUCCGUG
rnacentral:rRNA from 1 species